rnacentral:rRNA from 1 species
UGCAAGUCGAACGGUCGUAGCGAUACGAUAGUGGCGGACGGGUGAGUAACACGUGAGGAACCUGCCUUUUACAGGGGAUAACACAGCGAAAGUUGUACUAAUACCGCAUAAGACCACACCGGGUACAUCCCGGAGGGGGUCAAAGGAGCAAUCCGGUGAAGGGUGGGCUCGCGUCCGAUUAGAUAGUUGGUGAGGUAACGGCCCACCAAGUCGACGAUCCGGUAGCCGACCUGAGAGGGUGAUCGGCCACAUUGGGACUGAGACACGGCCCAAACUCCUACGGGAGGCAGCAGUGGGGAAUAUUGGACAAUGGGGGAAACCCUGAUCCAGCCGACGCCGCGUGAACGAUGAAGUUAUUUCGGUAUGUAAAGUUCUAUCAGCAGGGAAGUAUAAUGACGGUACCUGACUAAGAAGCACCGGCUAAAUACGUGCCAGCCGCUGC